rnacentral:lncRNA from 1 species
GCUCCCCCCAUCCCCAAAUUGGACAACACUUCUUCCUGCUAUGAUGGGCCCCUGGGCAUCAUGAACUUCAUUAUUGCUCCCUGGCUGGAAUUGAAACUGCCCAUCUGUAGUGGUCCAGUGCGUUGACCAUGCACCUGAGAAUCCACGCAAGACGGAGCCCUCCUCGCCGGCCGGCCUGGACACUUGGGAUCUGGUCCCUCUUCUGGGGAUGUAUCGUCAGCUCUGUGUGGAGUUCUUCUAAUGUAGCCUCCUCCUCCUCCUCUUCUUCCUCUCCGGGAUCUCACUCUCAGCACGAACACCAUUUCCACGGCAGCAAGCACCACUCUGUGCCUAUUUCUAUCUAUCGCUCCCCUGUUUCCCUUCGAGGAGGGCACGGUGG